GACGAACGCUGGCGGCGUGCUUAACACAUGCAAGUCGAACGGAAAGGCCCUGCUUGCAGGGUGUUCGCGAGGCGCAAGGGUGUGUAACACGCGGGUGUAACCUCCCCUUCUCUGGGAUAUGACUUGGAGACUGGGGCUAUUAUUGCAUAUAAGAGCGCCUUCGGCGUUGUGGUGGUUAGAUUUUUUGCGGUUGGGGGUGGGCUCGCGGCUUAUCAGCUUGUUGGUGGGGUAGUGGGGUACAAAGGCGUUGAGGGGUAGCCGGGCUGAGAGGGUGACCGGCAACAUUGGGACUGAGAUGCGGACCAGACUACUACGGGAGGCAGCAGUGGGGAAUAUUGAACAAUGGGCGGAAGCAUGAUGCAGCAACGCGGCGUGCGGGAUGACGGCCUUCGGGUUGUAAACCGCUUUCGAUUGUGAAGAAGCGGGAGUGACGGUAAUGGGUAAAGAAGCACCGGCUAACUACGUG
rnacentral:rRNA from 1 species